AUUGAACGCUGGCGGCAUGCCUUACACAUGCAAGUCGAACGGCAGCACGGGAGCAAUCCUGGUGGCGAGUGGCGAACGGGUGAGUAAUAUAUCGGAACGUGCCCAGUCGUGGGGGAUAACGCAGCGAAAGCUGUGCUAAUACCGCAUACGAUCUAUGGAUGAAAGCGGGGGAUCGCAAGACCUCGCGCGAUUGGAGCGGCCGAUAUCAGAUUAGCUAGUUGGUGGGGUAAAAGCUCACCAAGGCGACGAUCUGUAGCUGGUCUGAGAGGACGACCAGCCACACUGGAACUGAGACACGGUCCAGACUCCUACGGGAGGCAGCAGUGGGGAAUUUUGGACAAUGGGCGCAAGCCUGAUCCAGCAAUGCCGCGUGCAGGAUGAA
rnacentral:rRNA from 1 species